rnacentral:rRNA from 1 species
UACGAAGGGUGCAAGCGUUACUCGGAAUUACUGGGCGUAAAGCGUGAGUAGGUGGUUCGUUAAGUCUGAUGUGAAAGCCCUGGGCUCAACCUGGGAAUGGCAUUGGAAACUGGCGACCUAGAGUGCGGUAGAGGGUAGUGGAAUUCCCGGUGUAGCAGUGAAAUGCGUAGAGAUCGGGAGGAACAUCUGUGGCGAAGGCGACUGCCUGGACCAGCACUGACACUGAGGCACGAAAGCGUGGGGAGCAAACAGG